GAUGAAAAACGUAGCGAAAUGCGAUAAGUAAUGUGAAUUGCAGAAUUCAGUGAAUCAUCGAAUCUUUGAACGCACAUUGCGCCCGCUAGUAUUCUGGCGGGCAUGCCUGUCCGAGCGUCAUUUCAACCCUCAAGCCCCCGGGCUUGGUGUUGGGGAUCGGCGAGCCUCCGCGCCCGCCGUCCCCUAAAUCUAGUGGCGGUCUCGCUGUAGCUUCCUCUGCGUAGUAGCACACCUCGCACUGGGAAACAGCGCGGCCACGCCGUUAAACCCCCAACUUCUGAACGUUUGACCUCGGAUCAGGUAGGAAUACCCGCUGAACUUAAGCAUAUCAAUAAGCGGAGGA
rnacentral:misc_RNA from 1 species